rnacentral:rRNA from 1 species
AUUGAACGCUGGCGGCAGGCUUAACACAUGCAAGUCGAGCGGAGAUGAGGUGCUUGCACCUUAUCUUAGCGGCGGACGGGUGAGUAAUGCUUAGGAAUCUGCCUAUUAGUGGGGGACAACAUUCCGAAAGGAAUGCUAAUACCGCAUACGUCCUACGGGAGAAAGCAGGGGAUCUUCGGACCUUGCGCUAAUAGAUGAGCCUAAGUCGGAUUAGCUAGUUGGUGGGGUAAAGGCCUACCAAGGCGACGAUCUGUAGCGGGUCUGAGAGGAUGAUCCGCCACGCUGGGGCGGAGACACGGCCCAGACUCAUACGGGAGGCAGCAGUGGGGAAUAUUGGACAAUGGGGGGAACCCUGAUCCAGCCAUGCCGCGUGGGUGAAGAAGGCCUUAUGGUUGUAAAGCACUUUAAGCGAGGAGGAGGCUACUGAGACUAAUACUCUUGGAUAGUGGACGUUACUCGCAGAAUAAGCACCGGCUAACUCUGUGCCAGCAGCCGCCGUAA